UACGUAGGGGGCAAGCGUUGUCCGGAUUAUUGGGCGUAAAGCGCUCGCAGGUGGUCCGUUGCGUCGAGUGUGAAAGCCCCCGGCUCAACUGGGGAGGGUCACUCGAUACUGAUCGACUUGAAGGCAGGAGAGGGAAGCGGAAUUCCCGGUGUAGUGGUGAAAUGCGUAGAUAUCGGGAGGAACACCAGUGGCGAAGGCGACUUUCUGGUCUGUAACUGACACUGAGGCGCGAAAGCGUGGGGAGCGAACAGG
rnacentral:rRNA from 1 species